GCUGUCUCUCAAAGAAGUGUUCUUAUUGCAAUGUAUCACUGUUGAAUUUUUCACAAUAUGCACACCAUUUAAAGUUGUUUCAUGAACAUGAAAAAGAUUUUAAAGUUCUUUGCCACAUUGAAAAUUGUCAAAAGACUUUCAAAACAGUGGCAAGUUACAAAUAACAUAAUUAUAGGAAUCAUGGCACAAAAAAAUUCUUUAACCUUUCUGAUAGUGAAGGAGAACUUUUAGAUGCUGUCAACUCUGGAGAGCACUCUGGCACUUCACAUCUUGCUGACAAUGUAGACUUUGUUGAAGUGAGUGAAAGUGAUGGAGAAAAUAACAUAGUUGAUAAUUUCACAAUGCAUACUGCAUCUUUCAUAUUGAAUUUAAAAGAGAGUCACAUGCUUCCAGAUGCACUGAUAGAGAGUGUCCAGUCUGAAAUAGAUUUCCUGGUUAAAUUCACUGAAAAACACUACAGAGCCUCAAUACAAAAGGGAUUAGCAGAGCUUGGAGCCAAUGCCACAGACUCUAAAACAUUUUCAAGUCUCCUUGGUGAGGAAACUCUGUUGGAUCAGCAUAACCAACUGUUAAACACAAAAUUUAAAUUCAAGAAAUUUAUUUAGCAUAAUUUCCCAUUUAUAGCUGCCCAAGAAUAUUUGUUAUCAAGUCAUGAUAAAAAAAAAGCUACAUUUCAUUAUGUGCCAAUUAUUGAUUUAUUGAAAACUGUGAUUUUGAAGCCAGGUUUUCUAGAGGUUAUAAGGCAAAGGUCACCAUGAAAAACACCAUCCUAAUGUACUGUAUGCCACUUGUGAUGGUAAUAUUUCUAACAACAUUGAGAACAAUUCAAUACAACUGAAGAUUCAGCUGUAUGUCGAUGAGUUCGAGGUCUGCAACCCUAUCGGGGCCAAGCGAGGCAAACACAAAUUAACUGCUGCAUACUUCACCAUAAACAAUGUACCAUUGCAUUACAGAAACAAAAACCUUAUAUUUUUGUGCCUGCUUGUGAAACACAGGUCAUUGAAGCUGUAUGACCCCACAUACAAGAAAGUAUUUGAACCCUUGAUAGAGGAUUUACACACACUUUAUGAAGGCAUUGAUGUUAAUGUGAACGGGAGAGAUCAUAGGCUCACAGCUGUGUUAGAGAUAGUUAUGGGAGACAACUUAUCUUCCCAUGCCAUUGCAGGAUUCCAAACCAACUUUAACUCAGGGUCUAUAUGUAGAUAUUGUACAGUGCAAUACUUUCACUUUAGGAAUGCAUUGGCAAUAUAUCAGCUUAGGCCUAGAACAAAUGAAACCUAUGAAAAUGAGAUAAAAUAUAUAGAUGAGGAUGAAGAUGCUGCUGCUGUAUAUGGCAUCAAGCAUAAAUGUGUGUUUUCUGGUCUGAGUUAUUUUAAAGUACCAGACUCUUUUCCUGCAGAUAUAAUGCAUGAUUGCCUAGAGGGUGUCAUACCAGUCACAGUCUAUCUUGUUCUGAAAUCCCUCCAUACACAGAAGAUAAUUACUGUUACUGGUCUAAACACAUAUCUCAGUGAAGUUAAGAUACCUGCCAAUGAUAAGCCAAACAUUUUUAAAGAUACUUUCUUCUCUGAUAAAAAGAUUGUUGGUAGUGCUGCACAGAAGCUUGAACUUUUCUUGAUUUUGCCCCAGCUUGUAGAUUUAAGCCUAGUCAGUGACUCAAAAGCAUGGGGUGUUUAUUUGGCACUCAGGGCAUGUAUGGAUUAUAUUCUUAGCCCUGUUAUUAUAGAAAAGGAAUCCCUUCCCCAUUUAGCUGGUCUUAUUGAAUCAUAUCUUUACAAGUUCAAAGAGACAGUUGGCAGUGAUUUUCUUAUUCCAAAGCAUCAUUAUAUGAUGCAUAUUCCAUCUCUCAUUGAAAAGUUUGGGCCUUUGAGGAACUUAUGGUGCAUGAGUUUUGAAGCAAAUCAUCAAUAUUUCAAGAAACUUAUUGUAAACACUAGGAAUUAUGUUAAUGUCACACAUACAUUGGCUGAAAGACACCAAAUGAAACUUGCUCAUGAACUGGCUGCAAAAAAUUACUUUUCAAAUGAAAACGAACCUCGAGCAGCAGUUAAACAUAUUAUAUUUGACAGCCUUCCUCAGACUUUGAGAGUAACCAUCCAAGAUAAGCUGAGGAAACAAUUACGUGCAGCAACAGUUAUGUUAACAGUGUCAAAUCACUGAAAGUUAAUGGAGUUUUGUACAAAAUUAGUCUAAGUACAUGUCAUAUUCUGGAUUUCAUUAAUGAAUUGCCCUGCUUUGCUCAGAUUAAAUAUAUCUUAUUCAUUGAGGGAAAUUGGUAUCUCUGCCUUAAAGUUUACUUUCCUAUUCAGUUUAAUGAAAUUGCCCAUGCCUUUGAGGUUGAAUGUCAGCCAUCAUGGAUUGUUGUGCUUCCUCAAGACCUGGCAGACAGCCACAAGCAUAGAAUAUAUAUGAGAGAUGCAAAGACUUAUGCCUUCACAGUAUUCCAUGUGACUGAGUUUCAUAGAGAUAUAUAAACUCACUCUGUUCCUCCUUAUCAUCAGACUGUAUCAUUGUAAUGCCUCUCUGCAGCAUUUCCAUUCACUUCUCUCUACAACAUCUACCCUCCAGUUUAGAUUUUAACUUCUUAAUUUCAUCACACCAUCUGGUAUAUAGCUUCCUUUAGGUCUAUUUAUAUCAGUUACUAUGUCCCAUUCUGUCACUCAAUCAGACCACUUGUCAUCAUCUACAUAGCCCCUAUGUCAUGCCUAUUGCCAUUUCACUGGACUGUCUCUGAUGUAUCAUUUCAUUAGUGUGUAUAUUUGUGCCAUGAUUCCUAGUUUUACAAGUUAUGUAUGUUUUGUGAUUGUAACUAACAUUUAUAAUGAAAACCACUUUAUUUUAAAAGACAAUCAGAUAGAUGGCUAUAGACUGCUCAAACUUCCUGAGAGGUUGCUCGAUCAGCUAGUUCCCAUCAUUGGGGACAGAAUUGUGAUCUUUGAGGAAAUUGAAAAACUGAAACAAUGCCAUGAGAAAGCUCUCCUUGGAGAAGAAAAACCAGCAACAGCUAAGGAUAGUGAAUCUCCAGCACCAGAGGAAUGUGCAACUGAAGAUGUUGAACACCCUGCUCCAGGGCCCAGCGCACUCCCACCAACCAAUACAUGGCUUGAUCUUCAGGAUUACACGCUUCCAGUCUUCCCUGGCACAGUUAAGGUCAUCCUCGAGACAAAAA